GAUGAACGCUGGCGGCGUGCCUAAUACAUGCAAGUAGAACGCUGAAGGAGGGGCUUGCUCUUCUGGAUGAGUUGCGAACGGGUGAGUAACGCGUAGGUAACCUGCCUUUUAGCGGGGGAUAACUAUUGGAAACUAUAGCUAAUACCGCAUGACAACAGUUAUUGCAUGAUAACUGUUUAAAAGUGGCAACUGCUCCACUACCAGAUGCACCUGCGUUGUAUUAGCUAGUUGGUGAGGUAACGGCUCACAAAGGCGACGAUACAUAGUCGAAGUGCGAGGGGGAGCGGCCACCCUGAGACUGAGACACGGCCCAGACUCCCACGGGAGGCAGCAAUAGGGAAUCGUCGGGAAUGGAUGGAAGACUGAGCGAGAAAGGCCGAGGGAGGGAAGAAGGAUGUCGGAUCGUAAAGCUCUGUUGUAAGAGAAGAAAGAGCGUGAGAGUGGAAAGUUCACACUGUGACGGUAACUUAUAAGAAAGGACCGGCUAACUACGUG
rnacentral:rRNA from 1 species